rnacentral:rRNA from 1 species
GACGAACCGUGCUAACGUUGUUCGGAAUCACUGGGCUUAAAGGGCGCGUAGGCGGUCUAUCAAGUCGGGGGUGAAAUCUUUCGGCCCAACCGGAAAAGGGCCUUCGAUACUGAUAGACUCGAGCGAGGUAGGGGCAGAUGGAACUUCCGGUGGAGCGGUGAAAUGUGUUGAUAUCGGAAGGAACGCCGGUGGCGAAAGCGAUCUGCUGGACCUCUUCUGACGCUGAGGCGCGAAAGCCAGGGGAGCAACCGGG